rnacentral:rRNA from 1 species
UAUAGCCUUUAGAAAUGAAGAUUAAUCCCCCAUAGUCUCUUAGAGUGGCAUCACUUCUAGAGUAAAGGUUACGGUAUAAGAUGAGUAUGCGUUCUAUUAGUUUGUUGGUGUGGUAACGGCACACCACCACUACGAUAGAUAGGGGCCCUGAGAGGGGGAUCCCCCACACUGGUACUGAGACACGGACCAGACUCCUACGGGAGGCAGCAGUGAGGAAUAUUGGACAAUGGAGGCAACUCUGAUCCAGCCAUGCCGCGUGCAGGAAGACUG